UACGAAGGGGGCUAGCGUUGCUCGGAAUCACUGGGCGUAAAGCGCACGUAGGCGGACUCUUAAGUCGGUGGUGAAAUCCUGGAGCUCAACUCCAGAACUGCCUUCGAUACUGAGAGUCUCGAGUCCGAGAGAGGUGAGUGGAACUGCGAGUGUAGAGGUGAAAUUCGUAGAUAUUCGCAAGAACACCAGUGGCGAAGGCGGCUUACUGGUCCGGAACUGACGCUGAGGUGCGAAAGCGUGGGGAGCAAACAGG
rnacentral:rRNA from 1 species